rnacentral:rRNA from 1 species
GGAUGAACGCUGGCGGCGUGCCUAAUACAUGCAAGUCGAGCGAACAGACGAGGAGCUUGCUCCUCUGACGUUAGCGGCGGACGGGUGAGUAACACGUGGAUAACCUACCUAUAAGACUGGGAUAACUUCGGGAAACCGGAGCUAAUACCGGAUAAUAUAUUGAACCGCAUGGUUCAAUAGUGAAAGACGGUUUUGCUGUCACUUAUAGAUGGAUCCGCGCCGCAUUAGCUGGUUGGUAAGGUAACGGCUUACCAAGGCGACGAUGCGUAGCCGACCUGAGAGGGUGAUCGGCCACACUGGAACUGAGACACGGUCCAGACUCCUACGGGAGGCAGCAGUAGGGAAUCUUCCGCAAUGGGCGAAAGCCUGACGGAGCAACGCCGCGUGAGUGAUGAAGGUCUUCGGAUCGUAAAACUCUGUUAUUAGGGAAGAACAAAUGUGUAAGUAACUAUGCACGUCUUGACGGUACCUAAUCAGAAAGCCACGGCUAACUACGUG